GACGAACGCUGGCGGCGUGUCUAAUACAUGCAAGUUGAGCGAUGAAGAUUGGCGCUUGCACCAAUUUGAAGAGCAGCGAACGGGUGAGUAACGCGUGGGGAAUCUGCCUUUGAGCGGGGGACAACAUUUGGAAACGAAUGCUAAUACCGCAUAACAACUUUAAACAUAAGUUUUAAGUUUGAAAGAUGCAAUUGCAUCACUCAAAGAUGAUCCCGCGUUGUAUUAGCUAGUUGGUGAGGUAAAGGCUCACCAAGGCGAUGAUACAUAGCCGACCUGAGAGGGUGAUCGGCCACAUUGGGACUGAGACACGGCCCAAACUCCUACGGGAGGCAGCAGUAGGGAAUCUUCGGCAAUGGACGAAAGUCUGACCGAGCAACGCCGCGUGAGUGAAGAAGGUUUUCGGAUCGUAAAACUCUGUUGGUAGAGAAGAACGUUGGUGAGAGUGGAAAGCUCAUCAAGUGACGGUAACUACCCAGAAAGGGACGGCUAACUACGUG
rnacentral:rRNA from 1 species